GACGAACGCUGGCGGCGUGCUUAACACAUGCAAGUCGAGCGAUGAAGUUCCUUCGGGGACGGAUUAGCGGCGGACGGGUGAGUAACACGUGGGUAACCUGCCUCAUAGAGGGGAAUAGCCUUCCGAAAGGAAGAUUAAUACCGCAUAAGAUUGUAGUUUCGCAUGAAACAGCAAUUAAAGGAGCAAUCCGCUAUGAGAUGGACCCGCGUCGCAUUAGCUAGUUGGUGAGGUAACGGCUCACCAAGGCGACGAUGCGUAGCCGACCUGAGAGGGUGAUCGGCCACAUUGGGACUGAGACACGGCCCAGACUCCUACGGGAGGCAGCAGUGGGGAAUAUUGCACAAUGGGGGAAACCCUGAUGCAGCAACGCCGCGUGAGUGAUGACGGUCUUCGGAUUGUAAAACUCUGUCUUCAGGGACGAUAAUGACGGUACCUGAGGAGGAAGCCACGGCUAACUACGUGCCAGCCGCCGCAGUAACAC
rnacentral:rRNA from 1 species